rnacentral:rRNA from 1 species
AUGCUUAACACAUGCAAGUCGAACGGAAACGAUGGAAGCUUGCUUCCAGGCGUCGAGUGGCGGACGGGUGAGUAAUGCUUGGGAAUCUGCCUAAUAGUGGGGGAAAACUCGGGGAAACUCGGGCUAAUACCGCAUAGUCUCUUCGGAGGAAAGGGGGCCUCUACAUGUAAGCUCUCGCUAAUAGAUGAGCCCAAGUCAGAUUAGCUUGUUGGUGAGGUAAAAGCUCACCAAGGCUACGAUCUGUAGCUGGUCCGAGAGGACGAUCAGCCACACUGGGACUGAGACACGGCCCAGACUCCUACGGGAGGCAGCAGUGGGGAAUAUUGCACAAUGGGCGCAAGCCUGAUGCAGCAAUACCGCGUGUGUGAAGAAGGCCUUAGGGUUGUAAAGCACUUUCAAUAGAGAAGAAAAGCUUAGAGUUAAUAACUCUAAGCAUUGACGUAACCUAUAGAAGAAGCACCGGCUAAAUCCGUGCCAGCAGCCGCGGUAAUACGGGAGGUGCGAGCGUUAAUCGGAAUUACUGGGCGUAAAGCGAGCGUAGGCUGUUAAUUAAGUCGAAUGUGAAAUCCCCGGGCUCAACCUGGGAACUGCAUUCGAAACUAUUUAACUAGAGUAUGGGAGAGGAAAGUAGAAUUUCCGGUGUAGCGGUGAAAUGCGUAGAUAUCGGAAGGAACACCAGUGG